AUGAGUGUUGGAAUUUGUGGGUACGGAGAGACAACAUUUGGACUCUCAGAAAAAAGCUGUAAACUGGGGAACAGGCUGAGGCCCUUUGUGAAGAGAUGGGUUAAAACCAGUGAAGCAGGAGCUAUUCCAGUGUCCAGUGUCCUCAGCUCAUUCUCCCGUGGUGAUGCUGCCAGAGAGCAGAGACCAGCCAUCAGAAGCACAUUAAUUCUGGUCUUUUCUUGUAUCUCUCAAAUAGUGCCCAAAAAAAAGAGACACUGUUUGCACCCCCGGGCUCACUGGUUCAGUCUUUCUCCUUCUUCCCCGGCUUCUCACCACUCCUCAUGCACUGUCGGUGGAAGCCCUGCCUCUACCUGCAAUAGGAAACUGAGCCGAGAGACGGUCCCCUUAUGGCCUCUAACCUGCGCAUCUCAGGCACGAGAUCCUCUCCCUUCAGCAUUCCUGCCUUCCUUAUUCCCUGUGUCCUGGGCCCUCUGCACACCUUAUCUCCAGCCCUGUUUGGCAUCGACAUUCUAAUUCUCUGGCUUGAACAGCCUCCCAGACCAUGCUG
rnacentral:lncRNA from 1 species